UUAUUAUGGUCAGGAAGGAUAUUGAGCAUAUCAUGGCCCCAAAAACUAAGACAAAUUUCUAACUUUGUGAUGGAUUUCAAAAAAAUUCUGCAAAAGGGAUGAAUUUGGAAUGGAAUUCCGAUCAGGUCUUUGCAUUCAGAAAAUGCGAGGUCAUGAAUGCGAGCUCACGUGUUAAAAAAAGGACUACCCACACAUUAUUCACUUUGGCUAAUAUAUUAACCCAAAAGCUGUCCCCUUCUGAUUUUAUCCAUAUCUUGGAGUAUUCUAAGACUAUUAUGUCUGUUUCUUUUGCUGUAAAACCAUGAUGAAAACUUGCCUCUUUCGCCAAAUGAUGCCGGUAGCUUUUGGCCUCUGUUUUGCAGCUUUUGCUCAACACUCUCGGCUCUGUUUGCCAGCUUUCCGGCGACUUAGCUGUCUGACGACAGCUUCCGUGGGUGUAAGAUGAAACAAAAUUGCAGUCCUUCCCUCCAAUUUGUAUCUCCUCUUGAUGGAUGCUGCUGCUCCAUAGAUUUGAAUGACGGAUUUGGGAUGGAAUUUGGGUUCAAUUUGCAGUGCCCAAUUCUGCUGGUUUCUUAAGGGUUUCUGAAUAAAUCGGCUCUGUUUCUUAACCAAGCUCUGUUUUUUCUUUUUGACUGAAAGACUAAGCACCUCAAAUGCGAGGUACACUUUCAAGAAAAAAAGUUUCAAGCUCGCAUUUGUCUAAUGCUUAGUCAACCUGAUUUUAGAAACAACUCCACAAAUAGCCUCUCUUGUAGAAACACUUUUUUUUUCAUAAUAAUUUAAGAAUUUAUUCCAAAAACCAGUGCCUCUUAUGUGGCCAUGGUAGUUGUUCAGCAUGCUUAUGGUGGAUUAAAUAUCUUGAUGAACAUCGCCCUGGACAAGGGGCUUUUUUUUUUUUUUUUUUUUUCCUGACGGAGUGGACAAGGGGCUUAACCAACAUGCUUUUUGUGUGUGACGGCAUGUAAUUGCGAUGCUUAUUUUGGGACCUUUUGCUUAUAUGCUAGAAUGCUGCUGCUGGAAGACAGGAAAAAGCGACCAAGACCAUCCCUCUCUUUUGUGGCGGUGAUGAAGAUGUUCAUGCUCUCUUCAAUCGGAACAACCAUCCAUCUUGACAUUUACUAUGUGAGUUUGGGGUACACUUCACCAACUGUUGCCAGUACUUUGAGUAAUGUCAUCCCCGGUUUGACGUUCGUCAUCUCUGUGCUUAUGAGAUACCGUAACAUUACAUUACAUUACUACUAGCUAGUAAUAGUGUUGAUAAAUCACUACCAGCCAGAGCCAGUAAGUACGUGCGUACUGCUAUGUAAUCGUAUGAUGUUGUUCAGUCAAGUGAUGAAACAAACAUAUGCAAAUUAAUGAUCC